rnacentral:lncRNA from 1 species
GUGAAGUUGAAAGUGAUUCAUACAGACAUGAUACCAAAUAUAAUAUAAGACAUAGGCAAUAUAAUUAUCUUCUCAAAAAAUACUGUCAAUAUAACUAUUUCAUUAAGUUGGAGUUUUUUAAAAAAAUAAUCACAAAAUUGCCAUAGACUCUAUCUAACCCAUUGUAGACGUCACUGGCUCCUUGUUAUUGCAAUUGGAAAGAUGAGGUCCUCUGACACUUGAUAUAUUAACCAACAUUCAAAUCAUUUUUCAAUUUCAUGCGUGUUAUAACAAAUAAACAAUAGAACCUAACUGUUUUUAUACUAUCAAUUUCUCCACAGCAACACCAGAUUAGUAGGUAACUUCAGCCACCUUCUCAACUUUCCUUUAUGUUGAUUGUUGUGUGGAUACUUUCUAGUCCUCUUCGCAUUAUCCUUAUUAAAUCUAAAAACCUUAUCCCAUGUGAGGAAAAUAUGAUCCCUCCAUUUU